UACGAAGGGGGCUAGCGUUGCUCGGAAUUACUGGGCGUAAAGCGCACGUAGGCGGAUCUUUAAGUCAGGGGUGAAAUCCUGGAGCUCAACUCCAGAACUGCCUUUGAUACUGAGGGUCUUGAGUUCGGGAGAGGUGAGUGGAACUGCGAGUGUAGAGGUGAAAUUCGUAGAUAUUCGCAAGAACACCAGUGGCGAAGGCGGCUCACUGGCCCGGUUCUGACGCUGAGGCGCGAAAGCGUGGGUAGCAAACAGG
rnacentral:rRNA from 1 species